rnacentral:rRNA from 1 species
UACGUAGGGGGCAAGCGUUGUCCGGAAUCAUUGGGCGUAAAGAGCGUGUAGGCGGCCCGGUAAGUCCGCUGUGAAAGUCGGGGGCUCAACCCUCGAAUGCCGGUGGAUACUGUCGGGCUAGAGUGCGGGAGAGGCGAGUGGAAUUCCUGGUGUAGCGGUGAAAUGCGCAGAUAUCGAGAGGAACACCUGCGGCGAAGGCGGGUUGCUGGGCUGAUACUGACGCUGAUGCGCGAAAGCCAGGGGAGCGAACGGG